rnacentral:rRNA from 1 species
ACGACUCUCGGCAACGGAUAUCUCGGCUCUCGCAUCGAUGAAGAACGUAGCGAAAUGCGAUACUUGGUGUGAAUUGCAGAAUCCCGUGAACCAUCGAGUCUUUGAACGCAAGUUGCGCCCGAAGCCUUCGGGCCAAGGGCACGUCUGCCUGGGCGUCA